CAGGAGCAGCGCCUCCAUCUCUCUGACACACAGCACAGUGUUUCUUAAGGAGAACAUCACUUUCUGGACUCGCAGAGAAUCAAAGUGGAAAAAAUAUGGGGAACGAGCAUUCAAAGAGCAAAGAGCCAAACAAGAAUGAGCAGAUCCCUGAGAAGCAUGGAAACGGCCAGGUGAACGGCAUCUCUGCACACACCACACUCAACGGGUUUGAUGAGCGGAAGAUGGACGUGAAAACUGAAACCACCGUCCAACAAAACGGCGAGCCUCAUUCUUUGGUCAUUAUGACUGAAUCCACUGAUUUUGUGGUCAUCAAAUCAGACUGUCUGACCGCUACUGUUAGUUCUGAAGUCCCUAAGGACACCGCCGCCAUCACCUCCAACACCUCCAACACCAGCAGUCCCAUCAGCACCACCGCCAACAGCCCCAGCAUCCCCAUCAAGAAGGCGGAGGCCAAGAAGAGCAAAGAAGAAAAAACACAUCUCUUUGGCAAAGUGUUCAAAAAGAAAGCAGAAGCUAAAGCUGACGUGAAGAACGUGGAAGAGAAAGAGAAAGAAGAAGAGAGAAGUGAAGAUCAGGCAGAUGUAAGUCUUCCUCCCUCUGACCCACCACAGGAGACAGCUAACCCAAAGAAUCAGGAAUCUGAAGAAUCGUUAGCGGAGCCAGAAAGCGCGACUCCAGAGUCCUCCAGGACAGAGGAAGACAAAGUUCCUGAAACUGAGAGUGGAGACUGUCAGCCUGCGGAAGACAGGAGCGAAGAGAAUCCAGUUAUGAACUUCUUCAAAACCCUGGUGACUACCACAAAAACAUCCAAAAAGGAAACUCCCGAUGCCACGAAAGAUCAGCCCCUGAAGGAGGCCCAGCCUGCAGCAGCCACGAGCCCUGCUGCACCAGCCUUCGAACCUCCUGCAGCUCCUAAAGGAAUGUCCGUCCCACCGCCGCCUCCUCCAGAGCCUCCCAAACUGGAAACCAAAGCAGAAGCAGCUGCCAAGCCCGUGAAGCCGGCACCGAAAGAGGAACCCAAAGCUGCUGCAAAGGAAGCCGAGUCCUCCAAAGGAAAGUCAGCCAAAGAUGCUCUGAGCAAACUCUUCCGCCCAAAGACAAUCAAGGAGGUGCCACCGCCAGCUGUAGAAGUAGUGGUACAGCCUGUAGAAGUGCAGGAGACACCAGCGGAGGAGCCGGCUCCUGUUGUAGAGGUGCAGAUUGAAAAUAAGGUUGAAGCUCAGGAGGCGGCAGCGGAGGAGGCGCACACAGUUGUAGACGCACAGACCGUGGAAAAAGCACCACAGCCAGAGACAGAAAGUGAGAAGGUGGAUCCCUCAAAGUCUGGCACACUGGAGGCUGCUGCAAAACCAGAACCACCGCCACCUGUUCAGGAAGAGAAGAAGCCAGCCACGAAAUCCUCCUUCCUUUCCAUCUUCAAGCCCAAAGUAUUGUUAGAUCACAUGACCACAAAAGUCCAAGCAGCCUCCACAAGUGGAGUUCGGCUCCUCAGGAAAACUACUGGACUGGCUGCUGAGGCCAAGAAGGCGACCCCGGCUCCACCCGCAGCAGCAGCCGCCGCAGCAGCAGCAGAGGCCGCUCCAGCGGUGAAAGCCAAAGAGGAGACCAAAGCUGCAGCCAAAUCCACAGAGGUGGCGGCAGACAGCAAACCAGCGGCGGCGGCUUCCCAAGCUGCAGACGACGCAGCCAACCUGCCCAAACGGCUGGAGAAGAGGAACUCCAUCCAGCUGUUCUUCAAAAAUCUGGGUCAGAAGCGCCACUCCACAGACGCCGGUGUCCAGACAGAGCCGGCGAUCGCAGCUGCUGCAGCUGAGAAAGCCAAAUGAAAGCGACCCUCUCUGUACAGACAAGCCCCUCUGUCCUCCGUCUUCCUCUUACUCAAUCUUUAUGUCUCUCAUCACUUUAACUACAGUUGUUGUGUUUAGACGUUUAAAAGAAAAGCUCGCUGGAUGGAGGAAGGAACUGAGAGACAGGUCUGAAGCCUUCUUCGAUGGCCUGUUGUAUAUUUUUGUCCAAGCACAGUGAAAUUAGACUUUUCUGGGGACUUCUCUCUGUUUUUGCUAACUAACACGUAUGCACUAUAUAAGCAGCUUUGCUUUUUGGAUUUAAAGUGUCACUGGCUGUUUUUCAGUUCAUAGCAGAGGUUUUGUGCAGUUGUGGCAACGCAGGAGCUAAAAUGAACAUUGUACUUAAUCAACAGCUGACAGGAGCAUGUUUAUAGAGCAGAAAGCACUGACAGACCUAACUCUAUGUAAUAUAGAAACACAGACUGUAUGGGAAAUCACAAUCUUACUGUUCUGAGGGGAACUGAUUGUAAAUAUUCAUGUUAACACACACGUCCGAGGCGUCGCUGUGCACAUGUGUCCGUGUGGUUCACUGUGUCAUUUAACUGAAGUUGGUCUCAUGCUGUCAGUCGGUCCUGUUUUUAGCAUAUGUGCAAUUAAUGCUUUUGCGUGCCUAUGUGUAUGCGUGUAUGUGUAACUUCAGCUACCUAAAAGGC
ensembl:lncRNA proteoglycan 4-like